rnacentral:rRNA from 1 species
GACGAACGCUGGCGGCGUGCUUAACACAUGCAAGUCGAACGGAAAGGCCCUGCUUUUGUGGGGUGCUCGAGUGGCGAACGGGUGAGUAACACGUGAGUAACCUGCCCUUGACUUUGGGAUAACUUCAGGAAACUGGGGCUAAUACCGGAUAGGAGCUCCUGCUGCAUGGUGGGGGUUGGAAAGUUUCGGCGGUUGGGGAUGGACUCGCGGCUUAUCAGCUUGUUGGUGGGGUAGUGGCUUACCAAGGCUUUGACGGGUAGCCGGCCUGAGAGGGUGACCGGCCACAUUGGGACUGAGAUACGGCCCAGACUCCUACGGGAGGCAGCAGUGGGGAAUAUUGCACAAUGGGCGGAAGCCUGAUGCAGCAACGCCGCGUGCGGGAUGACGGCCUUCGGGCUGUAAACCGCUUUCGCCUGUGACGAAGCGUGAGUGACGGUAAUGGGUAAAGAAGCACCGGCUAACUAUGUG